AAGCCCCAGUAAACGGCGGCCGUAACUAUAACGGUCCUAAGGUAGCGAAAUUCCUUGUCGGGUAAGUUCCGACCCGCACGAAAGGUGUAACGAUUUGGGCACUGUCUCAACGAGGGACCCGGUGAAAUUGAAAUACCUGUGAAGAUGCAGGUUACCCGCGACUGGACAGAAAGACCCCAUGGAGCUUUACUGUAACCUGACAUUGGGUUUUGAUACAUUACGUACAGGAUAGGUGGGAGGCAUGGAAAGCUGGACGCUAGUCUGGCUGGAGCCGACGUUGGGAUACCACCCUUGAUGUAUUGAAAUUCUAACCGCGAGAGUAACGAAAUCCGGGACAGUGUCAGGCGGGCAGUUUGACUGGGGCGGUCGCCUCCGAAAGAGUAACGGAGGCGCCCAAAGGUUCCCUCAGCGCGGCCGGAAAUCGCGCGAAGAGUGUAAAGGCAGAAGGGAGCUUGACUGCGAGUCAAACACGACGAGCAGGUACGAAAGUAGGGCUUAGUGAUCCGGUGGUACCGAGUGGAAGGGCCAUCGCUCAACGGAUAAAAGCUACCCUGGGGAUAACAGGCUAAUCUCUCCCAAGAGUCCAUAUCGACGGGGAGGUUUGGCACCUCGAUGUCGGCUCAUCACAUCCUGGGGCUGAAGUCGGUCCCAAGGGUUGGGCUGUUCGCCCAUUAAAGUGGUACGUGAGCUGGGUUCAGAACGUCGUGAGACAGUUCGGUCCCUAUCCAUCGCGGGCGCAAGAGAUUUGAAGGGGGCUGCUCCUAGUACGAGAGGACCGGAGUGGACGAACCGCUGGUGUACCAAUUAUCCCGCCAGGGGUACAGUUGGGUAGCUACGUUCGGAAAGGAUAAACGCUGAAAGCAUCUAAGCGUGAAACCAGCCUUAAGAUGAGAUCUCUCAUAGAGCAAUCUAGUAAGACACCUUAAAGAAGAUGAGGUUGAUAGGUCGGGAGUGUAAGUACAGCAAUGUAUUGAGCGGACCGAUACUAAUAUGUCGAGGGCUUGACUUA
rnacentral:rRNA from 1 species